AACGAACGCUGGCGGCAUGCCUAACACAUGCAAGUCGAACGAGACCUUCGGGUCUAGUGGCGCACGGGUGCGUAACGCGUGGGAAUCUGCCCUUGGGUUCGGAACAACAGUUGGAAACGACUGCUAAUACCGGAUGAUGACUUCGGUCCAAAGAUUUAUCGCCCAGGGAUGAGCCCGCGUAGGAUUAGCUUGUUGGUGAGGUAAAAGCUCACCAAGGCGACGAUCCUUAGCUGGUCUGAGAGGAUGAUCAGCCACACCGGGACUGAGACACGGCCCAGACUCCUACGGGAGGCAGCAGUGGGGAAUAUUGGACAAUGGGCGAAAGCCUGAUCCAGCAAUGCCGCGUGAGUGAUGAAGGCCUUAGGGUUGUAAAGCUCUUUUACCCGGGAUGAUAAUGACAGUACCGGGAGAAUAAGCCCCGGCUAACUCCGUGC
rnacentral:rRNA from 1 species